rnacentral:rRNA from 1 species
AGGGCGCACGGUGGAUGCCUUGGCACUAGAAGCCGAUGAAGGACGUUACUAACGACGAUAUGCUUUGGGGAGCUGUAAGUAAGCUUUGAUCCAGAGAUUUCCGAAUGGGGAAACCCAACAUGAGUUAUGUCAUGUUAUCGAUAUGUGAAUACAUAGCAUAUCAGAAGGCACACCCGGAGAACUGAAACAUCUUAGUACCCGGAGGAAGAGAAAGAAAAUUCGAUUCCCUUAGUAGCGGCGAGCGAAACGGGAAGAGCCCAAACCAACAAGCUUGCUUGUUGGGGUUGUAGGACACUCUAUACGGAGUUACAAAGGACGACAUUAGACGAAUCAUCUGGAAAGAUGAAUCAAAGAAGGUAAUAAUCCUGUAGUCGAAAAUGUUGUCUCUCUUGAGUGGAUCCUGAGUACGACGGAGCACGUGAAAUUCCGUCGGAAUCUGGGAGGACCAUCUCCUAAGGCUAAAUACUCUCUAGUGACCGAUAGUGAACCAGUACCGUGAGGGAAAGGUGAAAAGCACCCCGGAAGGGGAGUGAAAUAGAACCUGAAACCGUGUGCUUACAAGUAGUCAGAGCCCGUUAAUGGGUGAUGGCGUGCCUUUUGUAGAAUGAACCGGCGAGUUACGAUUUGAUGCAAGGUUAAGCAGUAAAUGUGGAGCCGUAGCGAAAGCGAGUCUGAAUAGGGCGUUUAGUAUUUGGUCGUAGACCCGAAACCAGGUGAUCUACCCUUGGUCAGGUUGAAGUUCAGGUAACACUGAAUGGAGGACCGAACCGACUUACGUUGAAAAGUGAGCGGAUGAACUGAGGGUAGCGGAGAAAUUCCAAUCGAACCUGGAGAUAGCUGGUUCUCUCCGAAAUAGCUUUAGGGCUAGCCUCAAGUGAUGAUUAUUGGAGGUAGAGCACUGUUUGGACGAGGGGCCCCUCUCGGGUUACCGAAUUCAGACAAACUCCGAAUGCCAAUUAAUUUAACUUGGGAGUCAGAACAUGGGUGAUAAGGUCCGUGUUCGAAAGGGAAACAGCCCAGACCACCAGCUAAGGUCCCAAAAUAUAUGUUAAGUGGAAAAGGAUGUGGCGUUGCCCAGACAACUAGGAUGUUGGCUUAGAAGCAGCCAUCAUUUAAAGAGUGCGUAAUAGCUCACUAGUCGAGUGACACUGCGCCGAAAAUGUACCGGGGCUAAACAUAUUACCGAAGCUGUGGAUUGUCCUUUGGACAAUGGUAGGAGAGCGUUCUAAGGGCGUUGAAGCAUGAUCGCAAGGACAUGUGGAGCGCUUAGAAGUGAGAAUGCCGGUGUGAGUAGCGAAAGACGGGUGAGAAUCCCGUCCACCGAUUGACUAAGGUUUCCAGAGGAAGGCUCGUCCGCUCUGGGUUAGUCGGGUCCUAAGCUGAGGCCGACAGGCGUAGGCGAUGGAUAACAGGUUGAUAUUCCUGUACCACCUAUAAUCGUUUUAAUCGAUGGGGGGACGCAGUAGGAUAGGCGAAGCGUGCGAUUGGAUUGCACGUCUAAGCAGUAAGGCUGAGUAUUAGGCAAAUCCGGUACUCAUUAAGGCUGAGCUGUGAUGGGGAGAAGACAUUGUGUCUUCGAGUCGUUGAUUUCACACUGCCGAGAAAAGCCUCUAGAUAGAAAAUAGGUGCCCGUACCGCAAACCGACACAGGUAGUCAAGAUGAGAAUUCUAAGGUGAGCGAGCGAACUCUCGUUAAGGAACUCGGCAAAAUGACCCCGUAACUUCGGGAGAAGGGGUGCUCUUUAGGGUUAACGCCCAGAAGAGCCGCAGUGAAUAGGCCCAAGCGACUGUUUAUCAAAAACACAGGUCUCUGCUAAACCGUAAGGUGAUGUAUAGGGGCUGACGCCUGCCCGGUGCUGGAAGGUUAAGAGGAGUGGUUAGCUUCUGCGAAGCUACGAAUCGAAGCCCCAGUAAACGGCGGCCGUAACUAUAACGGUCCUAAGGUAGCGAAAUUCCUUGUCGGGUAAGUUCCGACCCGCACGAAAGGCGUAACGAUUUGGGCACUGUCUCAACGAGAGACUCGGUGAAAUCAUAGUACCUGUGAAGAUGCAGGUUACCCGCGACAGGACGGAAAGACCCCGUGGAGCUUUACUGUAGCCUGAUAUUGAAAUUCGGCACAGCUUGUACAGGAUAGGUAGGAGCCUUUGAAACGUGAGCGCUAGCUUACGUGGAGGCGCUGGUGGGAUACUACCCUAGCUGUGUUGGCUUUCUAACCCGCACCACUUAUCGUGGUGGGAGACAGUGUCAGGCGGGCAGUUUGACUGGGGCGGUCGCCUCCUAAAAGGUAACGGAGGCGCUCAAAGGUUCCCUCAGAAUGGUUGGAAAUCAUUCAUAGAGUGUAAAGGCAUAAGGGAGCUUGACUGCGAGACCUACAAGUCGAGCAGGGUCGAAAGACGGACUUAGUGAUCCGGUGGUUCCGCAUGGAAGGGCCAUCGCUCAACGGAUAAAAGCUACCCCGGGGAUAACAGGCUUAUCUCCCCCAAGAGUUCACAUCGACGGGGAGGUUUGGCACCUCGAUGUCGGCUCAUCGCAUCCUGGGGCUGUAGUCGGUCCCAAGGGUUGGGCUGUUCGCCCAUUAAAGCGGUACGCGAGCUGGGUUCAGAACGUCGUGAGACAGUUCGGUCCCUAUCCGUCGUGGGCGUAGGAAAUUUGAGAGGAGCUGUCCUUAGUACGAGAGGACCGGGAUGGACAUACCUCUGGUGUACCAGUUGUCGUGCCAACGGCAUAGCUGGGUAGCUAUGUGUGGACGGGAUAAGUGCUGAAAGCAUCUAAGCAUGAAGCCCCCCUCAAGAUGGAGAUUUCCCAACUUCGGUUAU